ACAAAGACUACUGGCGGAGGCGAGGGAGGUAAACUUUGUUACUCUCCAGAGGAACAGGUGGUCCCAGGCCUUGAGGUUCGAGAGUGCUUUAAUGGGGAGCGCUCCUGGGUGAGGUUCCAUGACUCGGAGAGGUGGCCAGAGUCAGGGAAGUCACAAACAUAUACUACUUUUAUGAAGAAUUAAAACAAAGCUCGUUCAAUUCAGAAAAAAAAAAAUGUCUGCUGUAUGUUCAUCAAAUAUAAUGGGACACUGGGCUCUUUGAAAAAGUUAACCACCCCACGUAGACCAUCAAUUCUUCAUUACUUAAACUGGCUUCUUUAGGACAAGUGCCUAUUAGGAUGAGUGUCCCUGGACUGAGAGCUUGAAAUAUUACCCAGAAACAAUGAACUGCACUAACCGGCCCAGCAGUGUGCUUCCUAAUUGUGCGACAACUAGUUGAAUAGUAAAAUAGCCUCAAAAAGUCAAGUUAGAAUAGAUUUUUUUUUUCCCCAAGGGAGAAGGAGCAUGCUCUACAGGUCAAGGUACCUUCAAUUCCAACUUGAUUUUCUCUUCAUUCAGCAACUCAGUUGCUUUCUUAAUUUCUUCACGACAUCUGUUUAUUUCCGACCUUACUGGAAUACAAAUGAAAUCCUUAAACACCUCCACCUUUUCUUUAUUUCUUUCUUUUCUUUCUUUCUUUCUUUUCUCUUUCUUUCUUCUUUCCUUUUCUUCUUUCUCUCUCUCUCUCUCUUUCUUUCUUUUUAAGAUUUUAUAUAUUUAUUCAUGAAAGCCACUGAAAUGGAGGCCUCAGAGACAAAGGCAGAGAGAGAAGCAGGCUCCAUGCAGGGAGCUCGAUGUGGGACUCGAUCCCAGGACCCCAAGAUCACGCCCCGGGCUAAAGGCAGGUGCUCAACUGCUGAGCCACCCAGGUGCCCUCUCCAUCUUUCCUAAGUCCCCACUUCUGUGCACGUGGACAGUAGGGCCCCCCUCAGGGCUCGGA